AUUGAACGCUGGCGGCAGGCCUAACACAUGCAAGUCGAACGAGUGGCGGACGGGUGAGUAAUGUCUGGGAAACUGCCUGAUGGAGGGGGAUAACUACUGGAAACGGUAGCUAAUACCGCAUACCAUCAGAUGUGCCCAGAUGGGAAUAGCUAGUUGGUGGGGUAACUGCUCACCAAGGCGACGCUCCCUAGCUGGUCUGAGAGGAUGACCAGCGACACUGGAACUGGGACACGGGCCAGACUCCUCCGGGAGGCAGAAAUGGGGAAUAUUGCACAAUGGGCGCAAGCCUGAUGCAGCCAUGCCGCGUGUAUGAAGGGGACAUUCGCGUCGUAAAGGACUGUCAGCGGGGAGGCGUUACCCGCAGAAGAAGCACCGGCUAACUCCGUGCCAGCCGCCGCGGUAAUUC
rnacentral:rRNA from 1 species